AUUUUCUAUGAAUAUUCUAUUUCUCCCCAAAAGAGGCGUGUUGUCAGAAACAGCUGUAUUUACAAAGUGCAACCUAUACAGACAUUUAUUCAAAUAGAAAAACUCUCUAAAAUCAGUUUUUCUCACAUUAAUACUCAUUUAUCAGAAUUAUAGUCUUAAAGAAAUCACUGUGUAUACUCUAAGUUUUUCUUUACUAUACAUUUUAUACCCCCUCCCCUGUUGCAAUUUUUUAAAGAAUUUGAAAACAAGACUUUAAUUAUUGCCAGCUUACCCUAUUUGCAUAUUUUCUGAUAAAAAAUGC
rnacentral:lncRNA from 1 species